rnacentral:snRNA from 1 species
GGAUGUGAGGGCAAUCAGACUGUGACAUCCGUCACCCUAUUAAUCGCCAGGGUUGAUCCGCCUGAUCUGGCUGGCUAGAAGGGUGUCUUCUUCCUCCCUCACCGCUCCGUGUGCGUUCAUCUUGAAGCUGCGCCCUCAGUCAAAGAGGAUGGCCUUCCCAGAAUAGAGACAGACCGGUCUUCGGUCAAGGGUGUAUGAGUAGUUGUGCUCCCCUACUGGAACCUCCAAAGAAGCUCUCAAAGAUGCAUUUGCGUCUGGCUGGCCUCACUCGCUGUGUUGAUUUUAUAAACUAGCUCUUACAGUUUGGAAGAGAGGAAGAGGGCACAGGACAGGGAGUUCACUCUCAUCU